rnacentral:rRNA from 1 species
AGCAGCCGCGGUAAUUCCAGCUCCAAUAGCGUAUAUUAAAGUUGUUGCAGUUAAAAAGCUCGUAGUUGAAUUUCGGGGUUAGUAGGUUGGUCAUGCCUCUGGUAUGUACUGAUCUCACUGAUUCCUCCCUCUUGACGAACUGUAAUGUCAUUAAUUUGGUGUUGCAGGAAAUCAGGACUGUUACUUUGAAAAAUUGAGUGUUUAAAGCAGGCUUAGGCUUGAAUACAUUAGCAUGGAAUAAUGAAAUAGGACGUUUGAUCCUAUUUUGUUGGUUUCUAGGAUCGACGUAAUGAUUAAUAGGGAUAGGUUGGGGGC